rnacentral:rRNA from 1 species
UGAGGAAUAUUGCACAAUGGGCGCAAGCCUGAUGCAGCAACGCCGCGUGCGGGACGAAGGCCUUCGGGUCGUAAACCGCUUUUCUGGGGGAAGAGCAAGGACGGUACCUCAGGAAUAAGUCUCGGCUAACUACGUGCCAGCAGCCGCGGUAAAACGUAGGAGGCGAGCGUUAUCCGGAUUUACUGGGCGUAAAGCGCACGCAGGCGGCUCUGUUAGUCGGACGUGAAAGCUCUCGGCUUAACCGGGAGAGGCCGUUCGAUACUGCGGGGCUUGAGGUAGGGAGAGGAAUGCGGAAUUCCCGGUGUAGUGGUGGAAUGCGUAGAUAUCGGGAGGAGCACCUGUGGCGAAAGCGGCAUUCUGGCCCUCACCUGACGCUGAGGUGCGAAAGCGUGGGUAGCAAACA